GGGAAUUAGCUCAGCUGGGAGAGCGCAUGACUGGCAGUCAUGAGGUCAGGGGUUCGAAUCCCCUAUUCUCC
rnacentral:tRNA from 1 species